GCGGGCGUGGCGGAAUUGGCAGACGCGCUGGUCUUAGGAACCAGUGCCAAUGGCGUGGAGGUUCAAGUCCUCUCGCCCGCA
rnacentral:tRNA from 1 species